rnacentral:rRNA from 1 species
GAUGAACGCUAGCGAUAGGCUUAACACAUGCAAGUCGAGGGGCAGCACAAGGUAGCUUGCUAUCUGGGUGGCGACCGGCGCACGGGUGCGUAACGCGUAUGCAACUUGCCCUAUACAGGAGGAUAACCCGUCGAAAGACGGACUAAUACUGCGUAUGCUCACAACUUGGCAUCAAGUGGUGAGGAAGGAAAUUCGGUAUAGGAUAGGCAUGCGUCCCAUUAGCUUGUUGGUGAGGUAACGGCUCACCAAGGCAACGAUGGGUAGGGGAACUGAGAGGUUUAUCCCCCACACUGGUACUGAGACACGGACCAGACUCCUACGGGAGGCAGCAGUGAGGAAUAGUGGUCAAUGGGCGCGAGCCUGAACCAGCCAAGUCGCGUGAAGGAUGACUGUCUUAUGGAUUGUAAACUUCUUUUAUACGGGAAUAACAAGAGUCACGUGUGACUCCCUGCAUGUACCGUAUGAAUAAGCAUCGGCUAACUCCGUG